GCCAAUUCCAGACAAGUACGAUAAAUGUCUGUAUUGCUGGACCAAAUCUACAAUUCUUCCCUUUUUGGAAAAAAAAAAGCUGCCCUACCUUUUCAUUUUCUGCCAUGGAAUACAGCAGUGAGCAGAACUUCAUAAAAUAUUGUCACCAACCCCAAAACCAAAGACUUCCCAAUCUCCUGAACUGUAAGAAGUCCAUCUUCUGUCCUUUCUGAAUGUUCAGCACUUUGUGUGGGUCAGGGACCAAGCACAGCAAUCACUCUCAACAACUACCAACAUGCCUCAGUCACAAGAGGGACUGAGCUGUCACUUGCAGGAUCCUGGAAGAAGAGCCUUCUUGUCCCUAUUUCAACCUCAGGAUAGAAGCCAGGCUUCAAGGGUAGAAAUUCAUCUCCCACCUUGUAACAGCCACAGGUUGAUGGUCUCCCCGACACAGUAACGUGCCUGGAGCUCUUCAGAUGAGUAAGGCUAGAGGAAGAAUCCUUUCCUGUCUUUUCUGUAGGACUUCACACACUGCCUCAACUCUCAAAAUAUUCUUCCUCUGGAAAACAAGGAAAAUGUAAUUUCUUAUGAAAAUACCAAGAACUGCUGUUUUGAAAGGCUGCAGAGAAAUAAGAAAUAAGCACAAGCAAGCAAUAAAUCAUGGAAGCUGGAA